UACGUUCCCGGGCCUUGUACACACCGCCCGUCACACCACGAGAGUUUGUAACACCCGAAGUCGGUGAGGUAACCUUUUGGAACCAGCCGCCGAAGGUGGGACAAAUGAUUGGGGUG
rnacentral:rRNA from 1 species